rnacentral:rRNA from 1 species
GAUGAACGCUAGCUACAGGCUUAACACAUGCAAGUCGAGGGACCGGCGCACGGGGGAGUAACACGUAUCCAACCUGCCCUUUACUCGGGGAUAGCCUUUCGAAAGAACGAUUAAUACCCGAUGUAAAGGAUGGGGAUGCGUUCCAUUUGGUUGUUGGUGAGGUAACGGCGCACCAAGCCUUCGAUGGUUAGGGGUUCGGAGAGGAAGGUACACCACAUCGGAGCUGAGGCCCGGUCCAAACUCGUAGGGGGCGGUGGGGUGAGGAGGAUUGGUCAAGGGGCGUUGGCCUGAACAUGCCGAGUAGCGUAAAGGAGGAAGGGGUAGUGGUCGUCAUCUUCUUUUAUAGAAGAAUCUUUAUUAUAUGAAUAAGGAUCGGCUAACUCCGUGCCAGCCGCCGCGGUAAUAC